rnacentral:rRNA from 1 species
CAGCCGCAGUAACACAUGCAAGUCGAGCGAUCUUCUUCGGAAGAGAGCGGCGGACGGGUGAGUAACGCGUGGGUAACCUGCCCUGUACACACGGAUAACAUACCGAAAGGUAUGCUAAUACGGGAUAACAUACUUUUAUCGCAUGGUAGAAGUAUCAAAGCUCCGGCGGUACAGGAUGGACCCGCGUCUGAUUAGCUAGUUGGUAAGGUAAUGGCUUACCAAGGCGACGAUCAGUAGCCGACCUGAGAGGGUGAUCGGCCACAUUGGAACUGAGACACGGUCCAAACUCCUACGGGAGGCAGCAGUGGGGAAUAUUGCACAAUGGGCGAAAGCCUGAUGCAGCAACGCCGCGUGAGCGAUGAAGGCCUUCGGGUCGUAAAGCUCUGUCCUCAAGGAAGAUAAUGACGGUACUUGAGGAGGAAGCCCCGGCUAACUACGUGCCAGCAGCCGCCGUAA